rnacentral:lncRNA from 12 species
AUAACAUUGUAUGUUAAAUAAUUGGAAUUAAAAUUAAAACUUAAAAUCUCUUCCAUCCAGAUAGACCUGGAGAAUGUCUUCAAAUAUUCUCUCUCUCUCUCUCUUUCUCUCUCUCUCUCGGAAAAUAUAGAAAUGCAGUUUAAUCAGAAAACCCAAUCUUAUGUCUUCCAUGAGGGGUGUAGCCAUGGACCUGUCUCCAAAUUGGAGUUGAGUGAAGGGAAGGCACCUUAACUCUGGAGAUCCAGUGUGAAUCCUCCAAGAACAUGCUGUGUUCACAUUUUCCAUGGACUUUUAUUGGUUCCCUUAGAUGGAGAGCAAGACGGAAACAAGGUGAAGCCACUUCUGGAUUCUUCCCGGUGAGCUCCAGGGGAUCCUCAACGGUCAAUGCGUUGGCUGGCCAUGUGAACCAAGCAGUUAACUUUUCCUGACCAGUCUUUUCUUCAUCUCAACUUUGUAACUGAUGCCCAAGUUCAUCAGGGCUCUUACUGCCUCAGAACUCUGAAGACCUUUUAUCUACACCUGAGUUACCCCAUUUACCCCUUUGAAGGUUGUCAGAAAAGUUUAAAAAGCGAAAACUCUACUUAGUUAUUGCUUUGAAAGGCAUACCGCUGCUUUUCCCAAUCUUCUUCUAGGACCAGCAGCCACUUGGGGAUGCUGCUUUUGUCUACAGCUUUGAACUUUCUUUGAAUUAGAAACAGAACAAAGGCAACAGUGUGAAGACUGCAGUUUGUCUGUUGAGGGCAUUGUUGGACUUCAUUCCUUUCCACAGGGAGGGAGAAGAACCAACAACAGCUCUGCGAGUCCUGGUGUUGAUUUAUGUUCUGGCAGAUAAGACAUGCUUUAUAAGAUUUAGCUAACAGACCUGCUAUGGUGAGUGAGAUAUCCCUGCUUUCUGAUUUAAAUGCAACUUGGCACUGCACAGCCUGGGUUACAAUCACAGUAUCCACCAAAAGGUGCAAAACACUGCAGUACAUAUGUGCAGGUGGAGAAAGCUAAUGGAGCUGGACUCACCGGGUACUAACCAUAAAUUCAGCUAGGGUGUAGCCUUUGCUGAGAUUCCAAAGGUGAACUUGUUUCUGGGAUCCCUAGAGUUGGGGAAACAGUUCCAGCCUUCACUGAACAGGGCAAUGGAAACACAUCUAUUACCCCUUAUGGGGCAUGUGACACAUAGUCUAUAACAACUUUGCAAAGAAACAUGCCUUAAGUCCAAAUAAUUCAUCUCAUUGUGUAACAAAAUGGUUUCGUGUGUCACAUCUUUCAAAGAUUAUUCAGUCUGCUGAAAUGAGGCGGGUGCAUAUAUCUACUAGAGAAAAAUUCCUUUACAAAAUAUUCUGUCUAGGGGCACCUGGGUGGCUCAGUGGUUGAGUGCCUUUGGCUCAGGCCAUGACCCCAGGGUCCCGGGAUCGAGUCCUGCAUGGGGCUCCCCACAUGGAGCCUGCUUCUCCCUCUGCCUAUGUCUCUGCUUCUCUGUGUCUCUCAUGAAUAAAUAAAAUCUUUAAAAAAAAAAUUCCGUCCUC